CUUUUCAUGACUCCUAAGUUAUGGAGGGGAUGUGGAGACGCUGGUAGCGGGGCCAGGAAGGCUCCGGACGGAGCAGGUUUUCUGGACCACAGACACACUGCCCCGGCGCCCUCCGCAGGCCGCUCCUCCCCAGGCCCAUGACAGUGCCCCGCUGGUUUCUGCCGCGCUGCCGGACUGGAGCUCAGACGGCCUUCGCCAGCCCCCCCAACCCACGCAGAUCCCUGCUGACCUGGGCAACUCCCCACCCUCGCUGAAGGUUCGAGGACCACCCCGCUUUCCCGAGAGGAGCCGGGCGGCGGGUACUUAUCUCCGACCUCCGGCUAGUGGGAAAGGCCGCGCGACCGCCCGUCCUCCAACUACAGGGACCGCACGGUACGCGCCAAGCACAGCCCCAAAAUGGACUCGCGGCUCCGGCUAGCUCCGCCCCCUUCCCUCUCCCGCUU
rnacentral:lncRNA from 10 species